rnacentral:rRNA from 1 species
AUGCUGUCGCGCGGGUUAGACCCGCGGCGUAUAGCUCAGUAACACGUGGCCAAACUACCCUACAGACAGGAACAACCUCGGGAAACUGAGGCUAACUCCUGAUACGCGUCAACUGUUUGAACACACCGACGCUCAAACGCUCCGGCGCUGUAGGAUGUGGCUGCGGCCGAUUAGGUAGACGGUGGGGUAACGGCCCACCGUGCCAAUAAUCGGUACGGGUUGUGAGAGCAAGAGCCCGGAGACGGAAUCUGAGACAAGAUUCCGGGCCCUACGGGGCGCAGCAGGCGCGAAACCUUUACACUGCACGCCAGUGCGAUAAGGGGACCCCGAGUGAAAGGGCAUAUCGCCCUUUCUUUUCUGAACCGUAGGGAGGUUCAGGAACAAGAGCUGGGCAAGACCGGUGCCAGCCGCCGCGGUAAUACCGGCAGCUCGAGUGAUGACCGAUCUUAUUGGGCCUAAAGCGUCCGUAGCUGGCCGCGCAAGUCCGUCGGGAAAUCCACCCGCUUAACGGGUGGGCGUCCGGCGGAAACUGUGCGGCUUGGGACAGGAAGGCUCGAGGGGUACGUUCGGGGUAGGAGUGAAAUCCCGUAAUCCUGAACGGACCGCCGAUGGCGAAAGCACCUCGAGAGGACUGAUCCGACAGUGAGGGACGAAAGCUGGGGUCUCGAACCGGAUUAGAUACCCGGGUAGUCCCAGCCGUAAACGAUGUUCGCUAGGUGUGCCACUCACUACGAGUGAGUGGUGUGCCGCAGGGAAGCCGCUAAGCGAACCGCCUGGGAAGUACGUCCGCAAGGAUGAAACUUAAAGGAAUUGGCGGGGGAGCACUACAACCGGAGGAGCCUGCGGUUUAAUUGGACUCAACGCCGGUAACCUUACCAGC